rnacentral:rRNA from 1 species
UACGUAGGUGGCAAGCGUUGUCCGGAUUUACUGGGCGUAAAGAGCGCGCAGGCGGUCGUUCAAGUCGCGUGUGAAAGCCCCCGGCUCAACUGGGGAGGGUCACGCGAUACUGAUCGACUCGAAGGCAGGAGAGGGAAGUGGAAUUCCCGGUGUAGUGGUGAAAUGCGUAGAUAUCAGGAAGAACACCAAUGGCGAAGGCAGCUCUCUGGGACGGUACUGACGCUGAGACGCGAAAGCGUGGGGAGCGAACAGG